rnacentral:rRNA from 1 species
GAUAAAAGCUACGGCGGUAAAAGAUGGGCAUGCGUGCCAUUAGAUUGUUGGUGAGGUAACGGCUCACCAAGUCUUCGAUGGCUACGGGGUCUUAAAGGAUGGUCCCGCACACUGGUACUGAGACACGGACCAGACUCCUACGGGAGGCAGCAGUGAGGAAUAUUGGUCAAUGGGGGCAACCCUGAACCAGCCAUGCCGCGUGCAGGAAGACGGCCCUAUGGGUUGUAAACUGCUUUUGUACGGGAAUAAACGUUUCGUUUUGGAAACACUGACGCCCCCGUACGAAUAAGGAUCGGCUAACUCCGUGCCAGCAGCCGCGGUAAUACGGAGGAUCCAAGCGUUAUCCGGAUUUAUUAGGUUUAAAGGGUGCGCAGGCGGGAAGAUAAGUCAGCGGUGAAAUCCUGUAGCUCAACUACAGAACUGCCGUUGAUACUGUUUUUCUUGAGUUCGGUUGAGGUAAGCGGAAUGUGUAGUGUAGCGGUGAAAUGCUUAGAUAUUACACAGAACACCAAUUGCGAAGGCAGCUUACUAAACCGUUACUGACGCUGAGGCACGAAAGCGUGGGGAGCGAACAGGAUUAGAUACCCUGGUAGUCCACGCCGUAAACGAUGAUUACUCGUUGUGUGCAAUAUACUGUACGUGACUUAGCGAAAGCAUUAAGUAAUCCACCUGGGGAGUACGUUGGCAACAAUGAAACUCAAAGGAAUUGACGGGGGCCCGCACAAGCGGAGGAACAUGUGGUUUUAAUUCGAUCAUACGCGAGGAACCUUACCCGGGCUUAAAUGGAGCAACACUAAACGGGAAACCUGCAUUCCCUUCGGGACGAACUACAAGGUGCUGCAUGGUUGUCGUCAGCUCGUGCCGUGAGGUGUCGGGUUAAGUCCCAUAACGAGCGCAACCCCUAUCGUUAGUUGCUAGCAGGUAAUGCUGAGGACUCUAACGAGACUGCCGGUGUAAACCGCGAGGAAGGUGGGGAUGACGUCAAAUCAGCACGGCCCUUAUGUCCAGGGCGACACACGUGUUACAAUGGCCAGUACAAAGAGCAGCUACAUGGUGACAUGAUGCUAAUCUCCAAAACUGGUCUCAGUUCGGAUUGAAGUCUGCAACUCGACUUCAUGAAGUUGGAUUCGCUAGUAAUCGCGCAUCAGCCAUGGCGCGGUGAAUACGUUCCCGGGCCUUGUACACACCGCCCGUCAAGCCAUGGAAGCUGGGGGUACCUGAAGUCCGUAACCGC